rnacentral:rRNA from 1 species
UACAGAGGGUGCGAGCGUUAAUCGGAAUUACUGGGCGUAAAGCGUGCGUAGACGGUUAGAUAAGUCGGGUGUGAAAGCCCCGGGCUCAACCUGGGAAUUGCAUUCGAGACUGUUUAGCUAGGGUACGGAAGAGGGAAGCGGAAUUUCAGGUGUAGCGGUGAAAUGCGUAGAUAUCUGAAGGAACACCAGUGGCGAAAGCGGCUUCCUGGUCCAGUACCGACGUUCAGGCACGAAAGCGUGGGGAGCAAACAGG